rnacentral:rRNA from 1 species
UACGAAGGGGGCUAGCGUUGUUCGGAAUCACUGGGCGUAAAGCGCACGUAGGCGGAUUUGUAAGUCAGGGGUGAAAUCCCGGGGCUCAACCUCGGAACUGCCUUUGAUACCGCAAGUCUCGAGUUCGGGAGAGGUGAGUGGAAUUCCUAGUGUAGAGGUGAAAUUCGUAGAUAUUAGGAAGAACACCAGUGGCGAAGGAGGCUCACUGGCCCGAUAAUGACGCUGAGGUGCGAAAGCGUGGGGAGCAAACAGG